GGAUUUAAAAUUACAACACCAAAUUCACUACAUCAGAAAUCUUGACUUGAAUUUAUAAUAACAAACGCUUUUAUGAACUAGCAUCCUACAUUUCUGGGAUUAAACAAUGUCAUAACAAAUAAGGUUUCCGAUAAUUAAUUCAUAUCUCCUGAUGCCUUUGACUCGUACAAGUUUAAACUCUUCAUUCAACCUUCAAACUCAUGUGCUUAAAAACUUCAGUGGCUAGCAAACUCAAGCCCGAUCUCUCACAAAUUUAUUAAGUGUUCACAAUCACCAAUAACAUGAUGAUGUUAAUUCUCAAAUUGCUAACACGUAUCAUACUAAGCUAAACACAAAUCAAUCUGUUACAAUUAGAGGCAGAUUUUUGUUUUUACUCAAACACAGAAAUAUUGUCACAAAAACAUACUAGAUUUGACUUUGUGACAUCUUAUCUAAAAACAUUAAUCGCGCGAAGAGCAAUAAUGGAUCUGGACACACAUAGAUCUAUGAAGAACCAACAUGAUUUCAAUUUGAGGAAUUACAAACUACUUAAGUGUCAGCAACACGAGUCAAGGAAUGCAUUUUAAUUUCAUAACCAAAACAUGCCAUAUCAUCAUUAAACUCAAUACAUUUAGAGAUCUAUAAGAAGCACUAAGUUAAAACCUGAACAACGAGAGAGAUUUAGGACCAAAUAAAGUUUAGAAAAUUCGAAGAGGGAGCUCAGCUACGAAACCAUAGAAUCAACAGCGAAUCAACAACAAUUAAUAGAGUUUUUGAGAUGGAAUUACUCCUUUGGAACCCAACAAGUAAGGAAUAAUCGGUCACAGGUGGAAACACUCUUCAAAUCCUUUUGAAAUCCUAAGCUUUCUACUGUUUUUGGAGUCUUUGAUCUCAGAUCUCUUUUUUGAAUUUUUUUGACUUUAGAAAUUUUUGGUUUUCCGCUGUUUUUGAAUACUGCUGAAUUUUCAGAGUGAAAUGGGUCUGUGUGCGAAUUUUUUAGACUCUGAAUACAUGCCCAAAGUAUGAGGAGGAAUGCCUUAUUUAUAGAUUAUUGGUUAGGGCUCUUUUCAAAUUUCCCUUUUUGUUUUACCCCUCUUAUUUUCAGUUUUUACUCCAACAGUCCCUAAUAAUAACAAACCCUUCUACAUCUUCUUUGCAAAUUAAUCAUUUUCAACACCUUCCUCGAAGUUUCCUAAAAGAUUCUCUAAGGGUGGAAUUCCUUAAUUAUCCCGUGUCUUUCCAGUAUUUACCAAUUUUUAGAAAUUAACUUUCUUUUAACUCAAUUACUACUCUUGUUUUACCACAUAUUUCACUAAAUUUCUGGCAGUGAGCCUUAGACUAAAAGAAUAAUAGGCAAUGUCGACCUGGGCUCAAAGCCCACUGGUCUUUUGUAUUUUUGACAAGUCUGUUAAUGACCUAGCCUAAUUUCAUUUAAAUUUGAACCAAACUAACUAAGAGAGUAUUUAAACACUAACAAAAUAUAUGGAAAAUUUACAACAAAAAUAAAAAAUAAGCCAACUCAUAAACUAAUUAGCUAACACAAAAUCGAACUAACAGAAGAAUACUCUUAACUUCUAAUGCUAUUUGAUCAAUAAUUAAAAUAUGCGAUUAUUCACCUAUAAAUAAAAAAAAUGACAACACAUAAAAAAACCAUAGAAGAAGAGGAGGGAAGAGUAUACCUAUUGGAUCAAACCGAGCUGUCAAGAGAAAAUUCCGAUGAGCCAGAGGAUUGCUACACAAGCACCAACCAAAAUUUGUCACGCCGGCCAGUGCUAUAUGUAGCAAUAGCUCUUGCAUGCUGGAGGUGAUGAACGAAGAAGCUUUGAGAGGACUGGCCGGUCAACCAGAAUUUGAUCGGGCCCCGAUGGCCACGAAAUGAGACGAAACCACCACCAAUCGACAAUACUCAUCAAGAGAUGUCGAUUAGUGUGAAUUUUAACCUCAGACGUGUAAGAAUAGAAGAGGAAUCAAGAAAGACUUAAAUUCCCAGGUCUACUAAUCGUGGAGUUUGGGUGGAUUUUUACGGAAAUGGUUGAGAAAUUAGGGACGAGGAGGAGUGAGGAGUAUCUGGUGAAAAUAUUUAGCCAAUUGGUGGUGGUCCGCCGCCGUGGCGAUUUUCGGCGGCGAUCAGACGGUGGUCCUCCACGGCGUGAAGGCGGAAGGAGGACAGUGGGCGGUGAAAGCAAUUUUUGGCCGCCCAAGAGAGAUGAGAGAGAAUGGGGAUUAGGGGUGGUGUAUAAAUAUUGAAUUUUUAUCAAUCAUUUUUAUUAUAAAGGGAAAAUCAGUGAAAUGACAUAGCUAUGUUGCGAGACUACUUUGUUUAGAUGGUCUGAUGCUAAGAUUGUUUGGACCGGGUAUUGAAUUGUACUGCACGGGUAUUCUUAGUAAAACUGGGCCCAAAAUCGUGGCCCAGUCUCAUUUUGAGCUUAGUAGCCUUAUCCUCCCUUCUUCUUCAUUUUACAAUUAGCCACUAAUCAACUGACAUACCAUUUGCAAAAUUAUCCUACUAACUGAUUCUAUCUAAUGACUUACUAUAAAAAUUAUAAAUUAUCCUACUAAUUAUGUGAGUAAGUAGGUCCAAAAAUGCAGAGUUAUUAGCUAAUAUAUUUUUAUGAUUUUGUGUUUAAUAAAAACUGCAAUUAGCAGGCAUUUGAGUGCCAGCAAUGCAAUUAGAAUCUGAAAAUACGAUGAAUGAAAUAAAAAGGUAUUUUUGGUGAUUUUCUAUGAUUUAACAUGCUCUUAGUAAUACAAAUAAUGCAUACAAACUAACAAAGAAAAAAUCUUUAAAGUUUCAAGAAAAAUCAAAAUAAUUGAUAAUACUAUUUUUAGACCUUUUAGGAGCAAUUUCAGGUGAGGCAAAAAUUACGUGCUCACAGUAACCUGUACAUGCAACCUAGUUCUUCCAUAUAAUCAAUCUGGUUUGUUAAUGGUGUACCCUGUGUUGAAAAACACAAUUAGGGAUUGGUGUACCCUAUACUGAAAAAGAGAUUAGGGAGUGAUGUACCCUAUACUGAAAAAGAGACUAGGGAGUAAUGUACCCUAUAUUAGCAAUGAGAUCAGGGAAUGUUGUACCCUACAUUUAAGAUCAUUAACUAGGGAAUGAUGUACCCUAUACUGGUAAAGAGACUAGGGAGUGGUGUACGCUAUAUUAGCAAUGAGAUCACGAAAUGGUGUACCCUACAUUACAUAUAUAUACUAAACUAUACUAUAUAUACUAAACUAUACUAUAUAUAUAUAUAUAUAUAUAUAUAUAUAUAUAUACUAUACACUUAGUAUAUAUUUACUUUUUAGUAGUAACAUGAAAGGACCAAAGUAUGGUACUUCUUAGCUGGUAUAAAUAUGGAAGGAUAAAAGAUCAAGUUUUAGCUCAACUCAGUAUAUAUUAUAGUAUAGUAUAUAUAUAAGCUAUAUUUGNNNNNNNNNNNNNNNNNNNNNNNNNCUAUUUUAUAAAUAGCCAAUGGCUAUAUUUUAUUUUAUUUUAAAUUUUGUUUUUUUUUUAAAAAAUAAAAAUAAAUUAGCCGUUGGGACCGUUUGGCCCGCUAAGGGACCGGGCCGGUCCCAGACCCUGGCGGGCUAACGGUCCCGGGCCUGACGAGCUCAGAUCAUAGGACCGACCCACGAGACUGGCCCAGAACCGCUAAAAUCGGGCCAAACAGUCCUGGCCCGUUUAGCCCGUUUGGCCCGUUUGGCCCGCGGUCCCGGGCCUGGACCGGCCCACUUGCCACCCUUACCCACUGGUCUUCUGUAUUUUUGACAAGUCUGUUAAUGACCUAGCCUAAUUUCUUUUAAAUUUGAACCAAACUAACUAGGACAGUAUUUAAACACUAACAAAAUAUAUGGGAAAUUUACAACAAAAAUAAAAAAUAAGUUAACUCAUAAACUAAUUAGCUAACACAAAAUCGAACUAACAGAAGAAUACUCUUAACUUCUAAUGCUAUUUGAUCAAUAAUUAAAACAUGCGAUUAUUCACCUAUGAAUUACAAACACUGACAACACAUAAAAAAAGAAAAAACGUAGAAGAAAAGGAGGGAAGAGUAUACCUAUUGGAUUAAACCGAGCUGUCAAGAGGAAAUUCCGAUGAGCCGGAGGAUUGCUACACAAGCACCAACCAAAAUUUGUCAUGCCGGCCAGUGCUAUAUGUAGCAAUAGCUCCUGCAUGCUGGAGGUGAUGAACGAAGAAGCUUUGAGAGGACUGGCAGGUCUACCAGAAUUUGAUCGGGCCCCGAUGGCCACGAAAUGAGACGAAACCACCACCAAUCGACAAUACUCAUCAAGAGAUGUCGAUUAGUGUGAAUUUUAACCUUAGACAAGUAAGAAUUGAAGAGGAAUCAAGAAAGGGGCAAUUUCAGUUUUUCUUAAAUUCUCAGGUCUACUAAUCGUGGAGUUUGGGUGGAUUUUUGCGAAAAUGGUUGAGAAAUUAGGGACGAGGAGGAGUGAGGAGUAUCUGGUGAAAAUUUUAGCCAAUUGGCAGUGGUCCGCCGCCGUGACAAUUUUCGGCGGCGGUUAGACGGUGGUCCACCGUGGCGUGAAGGCGGAAGGAGGACAGUGGGCGGCGAAAGCAAUUUUCGGCCGCCCAAGAGAGAUGAGAGAGGAUGGGGAUUAGGGGUGGU
rnacentral:lncRNA from 1 species